AUACGUAGGGGGCGAGCGUUGUCCGGAAUCACUGGGCGUAAAGAGUUCGUAGGCGGCCUUUCAAGUCAGAUGUUAAAGGCAUUGGCUCAACCAAUGUAAGCAUUUGAAACUGUUAGGCUUGAGUGCAGGAGAGGAGAGUGGAAUUCCUAGUGUAGCGGUGAAAUGCGUAGAUAUUAGGAGGAACACCAGUGGCGAAGGCGACUCUCUGGACUGUUACUGACGCUGAGGAACGAAAGCGUGGGGAGCGAACAGGAUUAGAUACCCUGGUAGUCCACGCCGUAAACGAUGAGUGCUAGGUGUUGGGGUCGACAGGCUUCAGUGCCGCAGUUAACACAUUAAGCACUCCGCCUGGGGAGUACGAUCGUAAGAUUGAA
rnacentral:rRNA from 1 species